AGAGUUUGAUCCUGGCUCAGAACGAACGCUGGCGGCAUGCCUAACACAUGCAAGUCGAACGAGACCUUCGGGUCUAGUGGCGCACGGGGUGCGUAACGCGUGGGAACCUGCCCUUAGGUUCGGAAUAACUCCCCGAAAGGGGUGCUAAUACCGGAUAAUGUCUUCGGACCAAAGAUUUAUCGCCUUUGGAUGGGCCCGCGUUGGAUUAGCUAGUUGGUGGGGUAAAGGCCUACCAAGGCGACGAUCCAUAGCUGGUCUUAGAGGAUGAUCAGCCACACUGGGACUGAGACACGGCCCAGACUCCUACGGGAGGCAGCAGUGGGGAAUAUUGGACAAUGGGCGAAAGCCUGAUCCAGCAAUGCCGCGUGAGUGAUGAAGGCCUUCGGGUUGUAAAGCUCUUUUACCAGGGAUGAUAAUGACAGUACCUGGAGAAUAAGCUCCGGCUAACUCCGUGCCAGCAGCCGCGGUAAUACGGAGGGAGCUAGCGUUGUUCGGAUAUACUGGGCGUAAAGCGCACGUAGGCGGCGCAGCAAGUCAGGGGUGAAAUCCCGGAGCUCAACUCCGGAACUGCCUUUGAAACUGCAGUGCUAGAAUCCUGGAGAGGCGAGUGGAAUUCCGAGUGUAGAGGUGAAAUUCGUAGAUAUUCGGAAGAACACCAGUGGCGAAGGCGACUCGCUGGACAGGUAUUGACGCUGAGGUGCNAGCGUGGGAGCAAACAGGAUUAGAUACCCNNGUAGUCC
rnacentral:rRNA from 1 species